UACGGAGGGUGCGAGCGUUGUCCGGAAUCAUUGGGCGUAAAGGGCGCGUAGGUGGCGCGGUAAGCGUGCGGUGAAAGCCUGGGGCUCAACCCCGGGUCGGCCGUGCGAACUGCUGGGCUUGAGCACUGUAGAGGCAGGCGGAAUUCCGGGUGUAGCGGUGGAAUGCGUAGAGAGUCCGGAAGAACACCGGUGGCGAAGGCGGCCUGCUGGGCAGUUGCUGACACUGAGGCGCGACAGCGUGGGGAGCAAACAGG
rnacentral:rRNA from 1 species